rnacentral:rRNA from 1 species
UACAGAGGUGGCAAGCGUUGUUCGGAAUUACUGGGCGUAAAGGGUGCGUAGGCGGGUCUUUAAGUCAGGGGUGAAAUCCUGGAGCUCAACUCCAGAAUUGCCUUCGAUACUGCGAGGCUUGAGACCGGAAGAGGUUAGUGGAACUGCGAGUGUAGAGGUGAAAUUCGUAGAUAUUCGCAAGAACACCAGUGGCGAAGGCGGCUGACUGGUCCGGAUCUGACGCUGAGGCGCGAAAGCGUGGGGAGCAAACAGG